rnacentral:rRNA from 1 species
UACGUAGGGCGCAAGCGUUGUCCGGAAUUAUUGGGCGUAAAGAGCUCGUAGGCGGUUUGUCGCGUCUGGUGUGAAAACUCAAGGCUCAACCUUGAGCUUGCAUCGGGUACGGGCAGACUAGAGUGUGGUAGGGGUGACUGGAAUUCCUGGUGUAGCGGUGGAAUGCGCAGAUAUCAGGAGGAACACCGAUGGCGAAGGCAGGUCACUGGGCCACUACUGACGCUGAGGAGCGAAAGUGUGGGGAGCGAACAGG